UGAAGCAAUUUUGCUCUUGACUCUGUGGUGCUGGCUCCUUCUGACUCUAAUCUCUUCAUAGUGGAGCUGAUUUGGACUCUGUUCUGAGACAAUCCCAUGUGAUUUCACCGAUGACUGAAGUUCAGUUCCUCCACUUGCCUUAUCUUGGGUUAGCUAUUUGGCCAAUCCUCUGUGAUUUCUGAGAACUGCUCCUCAACCACGUUCUUGUGAGCAACGCUUCAAUGCAGGCCUCUUCCCAAGACAGUGUGGGUGCCCCCCUCUCCCGCCAACAUGAUGGGCCACACGACUGUGGAGCUCAGUCCUUGUUCCUCCUCCCUGAGAUGUAAACAAACAACGCCAAGAUCUCAAUGGCUGAAUAGAAUCAGGCUUUAUUCUCGCUCGCAUCCCAUUCCGAUGAGGUUUGAGUUGCUUACUUCAAAGAGAUCCCUCAGGUUCACCCAGAACUGGAUUGAACCACCACACUGCAACCCAAUAAACCAUGGAGCCAUUCCAGUGUGAGGGCUUGGCAGAGGAAUAAUAAAGCAUCUGAAUGCACAUCCGCAUGACGAUGACUUCAGUUCUAUCAACCAGAGAAGACCCACUUGCUCUGCAUCCAGCCACAGCUACCGCUGCGCCAGAGAAUGCUGCAUCCGUGUAUGGACAUCUCUAAACACUUACAGCCAUCAUUCUGCAUGACAGAUUCCUAAAUCUACAAUCGCAGAUCAGAAGGAUGCCUACCACAGCAUGGUGUGCGAAGCGGUGCCAUGUCUGCACCCGGAAUCCAAACCGGUGAACCCCGGGCCGCCGAGAAGUAGAAUGUGCUCACUCAACCACCGCGCCACCAGGCCAGCCCC
rnacentral:lncRNA from 1 species